ACACGUAGGUGACUACCCUACACGACGGGAUACCCGCGGAGACGUGGGCUACUACCGGAUAGCUACAGCGUACGGNGGUAUGUUGUAGAAAGCUACGGCGCUUUAGGAUGGGACUGCGGNCGAUCAGCUAGUNGGUAGGGUAACGGCCUACCAAGGCAAAGACGGCUAUGGAGUGUGAGAGCACGGCCCCCCACAAUGGGACUGGAACACGGNCCAUACUCCUACGGGAGGCAGCAGCAGGGAAUAUUGCGCAAUGGGCGAAAGCCUGAUGCAGCGACGCCGCGUGAGUGAAGAAGGCCUUCGGGUCGUACAGCUCUUUUGUAGGGGAAGAGGAAGGACGGUACCCUAAGAAGAAGCGUCGGCUAGCUACGUGCCAGCAGCCGCGGUAAGACGUAGGACGCGAGCGUAAUCCGGAAUUACUGGGCGUAAAGGGACAGCAGGCGGCUUGGUACGUUGUGAGUGAAAGCCUCGUGCUCAACGCGAGGAAGCCGGACAAUACUGUCAAGCUAGAGGGCAUCACAGGGGAGUGGAAUUCCCGGAGUAGCGGUAAAAUGCGCCGAUAUCGGGAGGAA
rnacentral:rRNA from 1 species